rnacentral:tRNA from 1 species
GGAGCUGUAGCUCAGCGGUAAAACUUCUGCUUUGCAUGAAGAAGGGCCCAGGUAUGAUUCCUGGCAUGCCCA